rnacentral:rRNA from 1 species
GACGUAGGAUGCAAGCGUUGUCCGGAAUUAUUGGGCGUAAAGGGUUCGUAGGCGGUUUAUCAAGUCUGGUGUCAAAGCCCGAGGCUCAACCUCGGAUCGGCACUGGAUACUGGUAGACUUGAGUGCAGUAGAGGCAAGGGGAAUUCCCAGUGUAGCGGUGAAAUGCGUAGAUAUUGGGAGGAACACCAGUGGCGUAAGCGCCUUGCUGGGCUGUUACUGACGCUGGGGACCGAAAGCCAGGGGAGCAAAUGGG